UACGUAGGGUGCAAGCGUUGCCCGGAUUUAUUGGGCGUAAAGGGCGCGUAGGCGGCUCGGCACGUCCGUUGUGAAGUCGCCCGGCUCAACUGGGGAGGGUCAUUCGAUACUGAUCGACUCGAAGGCAGGAGAGGGUAGUGGAAUUCCCGGUGUAGUGGUGAAAUGCGUAGAUAUCGGGAGGAACACCAGUGGCGAAGGCGACUCACUGGCCCGGUACUGACGCUGAGGUGCGAAAGCGUGGGGAGCAAACAGG
rnacentral:rRNA from 1 species